AAAUGGACUCUCAGCAACGGAUAUCUUGGCUCUUUGCAACGA
rnacentral:rRNA from 1 species